UACGGAGGUGGCAAGCGUUGCUCGGAAUCAUUGGGCGUAAAGGGUGCGUAGGCGGCGCGGUAAGUCGGGUGUGAAAUUUCGAGGCUUAACUUCGAAACUGCAUUCGAUACUGCCGUGCUUGAGGACUGGAGAGGAGACUGGAAUUUACGGUGUAGCGGUGAAAUGCGUAGAUAUCGUAAGGAAGACCAGUGGCGAAGGCGGGUCUCUGGACAGUUCCUGACGCUGAGGCACGAAGGCCAGGGGAGCAAACGGG
rnacentral:rRNA from 1 species